UACGUAGGGGGCAAGCGUUGUCCGGAAUCAUUGGGCGUAAAGCGCGUGUAGGCGGCUCGGUAAGUCCGCUCUGAAAGUCCAGGGCUCAACCCUGGGAUGCGGGUGGAUACUGCCGGGCUCGAGUCCGGAAGAGGCGAGUGGAAUUCCCGGUGUAGUGGUGAAAUGCGUAGAUAUCGGGAGGAACACCAGUGGCGAAGGCGACUACCUGGCCUGUUCUUGACGCUGAGGCGCGAAAGCUAGGGGAGCAAACGGG
rnacentral:rRNA from 1 species